CGAAAGCCUGACGGAGCAACGCCGCGUGAGGGACGAAGGCCUCUGGGCUGUAAACCUCUUUUCUCAAGGAAGAAGAUAUGACGGUACAUGAGGAAUAAGCCACGGCUAAUUCCGUGCCAGCAGCCGCGGUAAUACGGGAGUGGCAAGCGUUAUCCGGAAUUAUAGGGCGUAAAGCGUCCGCAGGCGGCUUUUCAAGUCUGCUGUUAAAACGUGGAGCUUAACUCCAUCAUGGCAGUGGAAACUGAAAGGCUUGAGUAUGGUAGGGGCAGAGGGAAUUCCCGGUGUAGCGGUGAAAUGCGUAGAUAUCGGGAAGAACACCAGUGGCGAAGGCGCUCUGCUGGGCCAUUACUGACGCUCAUGGACGAAAGCCAGGGGAGCGAAAG
rnacentral:rRNA from 1 species